AGUAAUAAAAAGAAGUACUAUUCACAGUCACGAAAGCAUUGUGAGCUAAGCAUAUGAGAAUCUUAGUUACUAUCAAGUAUGUAGCAUAAUACUUAUAUUACAUAUGCUUAGGGGUGAUAGGCCUACAAACGUGCUGAUAUCUUGAUGUGUAAGAAAUAUAUUUAGUAUAAAAACAUAUGGUUAAAGUUAAGCUUAGCCAUGUAGACAAAUUACAUUGUAUUGGUAAAUUUAGUUUAAUCACUUGAUUAUAAGACAAGUAAAUAUAAAACGUGCGUAGUUGUUAAAAUUAUUACACCUUAUAUAACUUUGCGUAAUAUAAAUUAUGUUACUAUAAGUAGUUAUGUAAAUUAUUUUAAAGGAACUCGGCAAAUUGGUAAUUCAACUGUUUAUCAAAAACAUAGCUACAUGUAAGAAUAUGUAGUUAUUUCUGCUCCAUGAGAUUUUAAAUAGCCGCAGUACUCUGACUGUGCAAAGGUAGCAUAAUCAAUUGGCUUUUAAUUAGAGUCUGGUAUGAACGAAUAUAUGGGUUACAGCUGUCUUAGAAUAAUACUUCGAAAUUGGAUGUAAGUGAAAAUCCUUACUUAAAUAAAAAAGACGAGAAGACCCUAGAAGCUUAUAUUAAUAUUUUGUUGGGGCGACAGAAUUACAUUUAACUAAUUCUAAAAAACGGGACGCGGGACUGAUAGAACAAGCUACUCUAGGGAUAACAGCAUAAUUUUUCCGUUUGUGACCUCGAUGUUGGACUAGGUAAAUCAUCCUUUAGAAGAGGAUGUGAUAGCUCUGUUCGAGCGUGUUUAACCUACAUGAUCUGAGUUCAGACCGG
rnacentral:rRNA from 1 species